rnacentral:RNase_P_RNA from 1 species
AGCAUUAGCUGGUAGCUGCAUUAUUAUGUAGAGGAAAGUCCGUGCUAGCACCAUCUGCGAUGAUGGUAGUGUUUGUGCUAAGCCAAAUAAGCUUAGGAUGUGGGAAACCAUAGACGACUAGUGCAACAGAGACGAGUGAUAUGAAACGGGUAAACUCCGCAAGCUAGAAACCCAAAUUUAGGUAGGGGAAUCUGAUUAAGGGAAAUGAACUAAGAUCAGGAGCUUUUAUAAGUUAGAUAAAUUACCAGCACUGAAUUUUCAGGACAGAACACGGCUUACAGAU